CCCAAGUCACAGGUGCUCAGCACCGCUCAGUAUUUGGCUGUCUAGUAUUAGCUCUGUUAUUUUUAUUUUACUGUGUUUUGAUUUUAGUUCACAUUUUUUUCCCCAAAUAGGUCAGCAUCAUUGCAAUGAAAAUAUAAUUGCUUGACUCCCCUCUCUUGCUUUAGCACUAGACCACAUUGAUGUAUUCAUCACAUCAUUGUCAGACUUGGUAGAGUAGCCUAUUGACACAUUAGGUGAGUAGGUUGGCUGAGUGCUGAUGCAUGUUGCUUUUUACCCGCCACCAGUAUUUCAGAAAGUGAAGGACACCAUCGAAAGAGUAUGUGAGCCGCUGAUGUCUCUGAGUCAGGAUUUCAGGAUCAAAUUGCUGGGAACCUUUAAGAGCUUUCUGCAGGAUGGUGAUGUUAUAUCAGAUGUUAAAACUGUGCGGGGGGUCAACCUAAGCACUCAAUGCUGGACUCGUUGGAUGAAAUUCUCCGGCCUCAGGCGGAAAAUUUGCUUCAUGAUUUAGGAGUUUUCUGUGAGGAUCAGAGAGAAGAAUCCCCUUCAUUAUUGCAACCGGUACACUUCCUGUGUUCUUCUUUAGAAGAUCUGGACUUUAGAGUGCUGCCCCUGCUUGUGACCUGCAUAGAGAAGAACAUGGUGGCCAAGCAGCUUGCGCUGGUAAGAUCCUCCCACACUCGUAUCUUUGAAUAUUUACUAGUUAACACUGCAAGAAAGCUGAUUGAU
rnacentral:lncRNA from 1 species